UACAGAGGUCUCAAGCGUUGUUCGGAUUCAUUGGGCGUAAAGGGUGCGUAGGUGGCGGGGUAAGUCAGGUGUGAAAUCUCGGGGCUCAACCCCGAAACUGCACUUGAUACUGCCUUGCUCGAGUACUGGAGAGGAGAUUGGAAUUUACGGUGUAGCAGUGAAAUGCGUAGAUAUCGUAAGGAAGACCAGUGGCGAAGGCGAAUCUCUGGACAGUUACUGACACUUAGGCACGAAGGCCAGGGGAGCAAACGGG
rnacentral:rRNA from 1 species